UGGGGAAUAUUGCACAAUGGGCGCAAGCCCGAUGCAGCCAUGCCGCGUGUAUGAAGAAGGCCUUCGGGUUGUAAAGUACUUUCAGCGGGGAGGAAGGCGAUAAGGUUAAUAACCUUGUCGAUUGACGUUACCCGCAGAAGAAGCACCGGCUAACUCCGUGCCAGCAGCCGCGGUAAUACGGAGGGUGCAAGCGUUAAUCGGAAUUACUGGGCGUAAAGCGCACGCAGGCGGGCUGUCAAGUCGGAUGUGAAAUCCCCGGGCUCAACCUGGGAACUGCAUUCGAAACUGGCAGGCUAGAGUCUUGUAGAGGGGGGUAGAAUUCCAGGUGUAGCGGUGAAAUGCGUAGAGAUCUGGAGGAAUACCGGUGGCGAAGGCGGCCCCCUGGACAAAGACUGACGCUCAGGUGCGAAAGCGUGGGGAGCAAACA
rnacentral:rRNA from 1 species